UACCUAUCCCAAAUCCACUUGAAGCUCUUCGUAAAAGACCUUUUAACUUUGCCUUCAACAGAGUAGGCCUUAUAGCUUGCAACCCUCUUCUUUCUCUCGAACUCAAGGUCAGUGAAGCCCCAAGAAGGCCCUCUUGUGCUUUUCCCUUUCUUCAACUUCAAAUCCUUCACACCACCCAUAUGGGUUUGUGGUAAGUCAUAGGAAGAAGAAGCGUACGAGGCACUGUGAGACCUGAGGUCAAUGGGGUUUGAACUGGGUGGUCUGUGGCCAUGGUAGCUCUGAAUCUGCAUCCUUCCAUCAGUGUAUGACUUUGAUUUGUAAUCUCCCAUGGGUUCAAUGAGAGAUCGAUCAAAUUUGGGAAUUGGUGUCGUGAUUUUAGAGCAGGUGGGGAAGAAUGGAAAGUUUACAAUGCCGGUGACCGAAGAUGUGCCCCAAGUUGCUACCUUCACAUGAUAUAUUCCCAAUGUGUAUUGGCCUAUUUUUUUUAAAAAAAAAAAAUUUAGGUGUUUUGUUUUUUAAGUUCUUU
rnacentral:lncRNA from 1 species